GACGAACGCUGGCGGCGUGCCUAAUACAUGCAAGUCGAACGCAGUGGGGACGGGUGAGUAACACGUGGGUAACCUCCCAUCAGAGGGGAUAACCCUUGGAAACAGGUGCUAAACCGAUACUGAUGGAUGGACCCGCGGUGCAUUAGCUAGUUGGUGGGGUAACGGCUCACCAAGGCCACGGUGCAUAGUCGACCGGAGAGGGUGAUCGGCAAGACUGGGACUGAGACACGGGCCAGACUCCUACGGGAGGAAGCAGUAGGGAAGCUUCGGCAAUGGACGAAAGUCUUACCGAGCAACGCCGCGGGAGUGAAGAAGGUUUUCGGAGCGUAAAACUCUGUUGUUAGAGAAGCGGUAUCUAACCAGAAAGCCACGGCUAACUACGUGCCAGCAGCCGCGGUAAUAC
rnacentral:rRNA from 1 species